CUCUCUGGCCUCCAAGGUGAACCCAACUCCCCAGCGCGCCCCGGGUUCCCGGGUCGGGCCGGCUUCAGGCGGUGGGGAGCGGGAUCCCGGGCCCCGGGCGGGCGGGAGGGACGGGACGCGGUGCAGUGUUGUUUUUUCCCCCGCCAAUAUUGCACUCGUCCCGGCCUCCGGCCCCCCCGGCCCCCCGGCCUCCCCGCUACCCCUAGCGGGGCAGCCCCCGCCCUCCUGGCUCUCCAUCCCGGCGGAUCUUUGAUAGACUGGAGUGUCGCCGCUGCCACCGUGAGUGCUUGUGUCCGUGGUGAGAAGGGUGAUGGAGAGAAGUGGCUGCAGUUCCCACCCAUGGAGAGGUCACUGGUGAAUCCCAGCUAAAGAGGAAGGACAGGCCCGGCCUGAGUCCCACAGGGCUUGCUGCCUCCACCUGGGCAAAGGCAACACCAGUCUAACGUGCUCUGGGUCCGCAGGCUUACCAUCUGAGUCCUUCUGAUUGGGAUUGGGUACCAGGCGGCAGUUAUCGGGACCAGGAGGCACAUAAUCUGGGAUGCCAUCAUUGUCAUCAUCCCCAUCACACUCAUCUCCAAGUCCAUCGUUAUCAGAGUCCAGCUGGGAGCUAUUUGGCAGCUGUGGGCAGUUGUCCUUGGUGUCCUGAUGCCCAUCCCCAUCGCUAAUCAGAAGAACAGGUUGGUGAAAGUCCCGAACUUUGUCUCCCCACCCAGAGGACAACUGGCCAGGAAAUCUGCCUGUUUCUUGUCUCACCCUCUAGUCCACACUCUGCCUAACACUACGCCCUACCUCACAUUCCUAUUGACAUCUGCUGCAGAUCACACCCUUGUGAUGGACAAACUGCUCAGUACAGUCCCACCCACCCAGCCUCCUUGUCCUGGGCACGAGGUUUUUGCCUCCCUGAUUUGGAGUAUUUGGCCCUUACUAGAGAGCUGCCAGAUGAGAACUCAGAGGCUCCUCCCGGCUCACCUGCAUCCUCAAAUACGCCUUCUGUCCAGUCCUAAUCUCCAGCCCAUCGACCUCCGCUGGAGGAAUGGGGGCCAGUGCUGGAAGGCCUGCAUGUUGGUCACCCAGUUUGCAGUCCACGUAGAGAUGUAGGGCAGGGCUGGGUCUGGAGGGACCUCGGAGUCGCAGGAGAACUGUGUGUGUGCGCCCAUCAGCCAGGCCCGCUUGCUGUAGGUUCACGGCGUGGACUUUGCCAUCCUCCCGCUGGUAUCGCACCAGUACUGCCCAGGAGGGGAGAUCAGUAUGGGCGCUAUCCCCCACCCCCUGCCUCCCAGCUGAGCCUUGGAUCAACUCUGCUAGAUACCACAUCUCUAGGGCCCCUAUCCCUAAUUCUACUAUGUGGCUCUCAACACCUUGUAUUUAAUAGGUACACAAUAAAUGUUUUUGAAAUUGCUUU
rnacentral:lncRNA from 1 species